AUGGCGCCGCCGCCAUCGUCCAAGCUCGCCCUCCUGCUCCUUGCCAUGGCACUGAUGGUCUACACCGUUUGCGGUUGCGGAUACAAGUGCCCGUCCCCGUCUCCGCCGCCGCCGCCGCCACCACCACCGCCGUCGCCACCGCAACCGGCGUACCCCCCGUCGCCACCACCACCAUCAACCAGCUCUGGCUCGUGCCCGAAUCUGCAAGUGUGCGUCAAUGUGCUGAACCUGCCAAUUCUCAGUCUCGGCUUGUUUGCGAAUGAGUGCUGCCCACUGCUCUACGGGUUGGCCGACCUGCAAGCUGCCGCGUGCCUCUGCGACGUCCUUGACGGCAUCCUCGGCCUCCACCUCGACGUCGUGCUCCUUCUCAACCAGUGCAACAUUCGCUGCAAAUCCACCUACACCUGCCCGCGCUGA
rnacentral:rRNA from 1 species